CUGUGAACUUCUGCAGCACAUUCUCAAGAUCGCUUUUUGUUACUUGGUCAUAAGGCUUUUCUUCAGUUACUUUUCCUGUAGCAUCUAACGUAUCAGUAGCUCUGCCCAGUAGUCCAAUGGCAGUGUACCAGAACUCCUGUUGCUGCACUGUCCAAAGUUCCACCAUGCCCAAUUUUCAAAGCUUGCCUUUUUCUUUUCUUAUCUUUUGUUUGCA
rnacentral:lncRNA from 1 species